UACAGAGGGUGCAAACGUUGCUCGGAAUCACUGGGCGUAAAGGGUGCGUAGGCGGGUCUUUAAGUCAGGGGUGAAAUCCUGGAGCUCAACUCCAGAACUGCCUUUGAUACUGAGGAUCUUGAGUACGGGAGAGGUGAGUGGAACUGCGAGUGUAGAGGUGAAAUUCGUAGAUAUUCGCAAGAACACCAGUGGCGAAGGCGGCUCACUGGCCCGUAACUGACGCUGAGGCACGAAAGCGUGGGGGAGCAAACAGGAUUA
rnacentral:rRNA from 1 species